GAUGCUGUUUGUCCCAACAACUCGCUGCAAAUUAAUGGUUAUUGCUACUAUCUUAGUAAUAAAACUGGUAGUUGGAAUGUGGCUCGAAAGAAUUGCCGUUAUCGUGGUGGCGAUUUGGCCGUGCCAAAUAGUUUGAAAAUCAAUUAUCAAAUUUACCAGCUUCUUAAAGUUCAUGGUGUUGGAGAGGCAUGGAUUGGUGUGUAUAGGGAUGAAAACAACAAGUUUAUCACCACCGGUGGCGUCGGCGUUUCUUAUGCAAACUGGAAGGCGGGAGAACCAAAUAACUAUCGUGGCAGGGGAGAAAAUUGCGUCGAGAUGUAUGCAGUUCCCGAUAAAGCAGAGAAGUGGAAUGAUGAGCCAUGUUCGCGUAAAUAUCGCUAUGUCUGUGAACUUGUUGUAUAGCUUCUACUCUCAAACCAAGCAGAUUAGAACUUUUCUUUCACCAAGCUUAGUAUAGCAGGAUAGCGGAUUUAUACAUCAUUGAUUAAUAAUUAUUGUAUCGUAACAGUGAUGCAAUGCCAUAGGGGGAAACGUAUGAC